rnacentral:rRNA from 1 species
GAUAAACGCUGGCGGCGUGCAUAACACAUGCAAGUCGAACGAUGAAACUUAGAUGAUUUCUUCGGAAUGAACUUAAGCGGAUUAGUGGCGAACGGGUGAGUAACACGUGAGUAACCUGCCUUACACAAGGGGAUAGCCUUUGGAAACGAAGAAUAAUACCCUAUAAAGUCAAUUUAUCGCAUGAUAGAAUGACCAAAGAUUUAUCGGUGUAAGAUGGACUUGCGUCUGAUUAGCUAGUUGGUGAGAUAAAGGCCCACCAAGGCAACGAUCAGUAGCCGGCUUGAGAGAGCGUACGGCCACAUUGGGACUGAGACACGGCCCAAACUCCUACGGGAGGCAGCAGUGGGGAAUUUUGCACAAUGGGGGAAACCCUGAUGCAGCGACGCCGCGUGAUUUAGAAGGCCUUCGGGUUGUAAAAAUCUUUUUUAUGGGAUGAAAAUGACAGUACCAUAAUAAUAAGGUCCGGCUAAAUACGUGCCAGCAGCCGCGGUAAUACGUAUGGACCGAGCGUUGUCCGGAAUCAUUGGGCGUAAAGGGUACGUAGGCGGCCCGGUAAGUUAGAAGUGAAAUAAGAUAGCUCUACUAUAUAAAGCUUUUUAAACUGGCGAGGCUUGAUGGAUGGAAGGGAAAGUGUGAUUCCUAUUGAACGGUGAAGUGCCAUAUAUUGUGAUAAUACCGGUGGCGAAUGCUAUUUGUUGUUCUGAUUGUGAUGUUAGUAGUGAGCUUGUGUUGCAUGUGUAUAGAUACCUGGGUUACCUGGUGUUGUGUGUGUUGUUGUUUCUCUUUUGGAUGCGCUGGUGCCGGGCGCGCCCUCUUUGUGUGUGAAAUAACACAAUGAUAGAGUGUGUUUAUGUGUGUGUUGUUGAUGUUGUGGUGUG